UACGAAGGGGGCUAGCGUUGCUCGGAAUCACUGGGCGUAAAGCGCACGUAGGCGGCUUUCUAAGUCAGGGGUGAAAUCCUGGAGCUCAACUCCAGAACUGCCUUUGAUACUGGAGAGCUUGAGUCCGGGAGAGGUGAGUGGAACUCCGAGUGUAGAGGUGAAAUUCGUAGAUAUUCGGAAGAACACCAGUGGCGAAGGCGGCUCACUGGCCCGGUACUGACGCUGAUGCGCGACAGCGUGGGGAGCAAACAGG
rnacentral:rRNA from 1 species